UACGGAGGGUGCAAGCGUUAAUCGGAAUUACUGGGCGUAAAGGGUUCGUAGGUGGUUUGAUAAGUUAUCUGUAAAAGCCCUGGGCUCAACCUAGGAAGGUCAGAUAAUACUGUUGAACUCGAGUAUGGGAGAGGGUAGUGGAAUUUCCGGUGUAGCGGUGAAAUGCGUAGAGAUCGGAAGGAACACCAGUGGCGAAGGCGGCUACCUGGCCUAAUACUGACACUGAGGAACGAAAGCGUGGGGAGCAAACAGGAUUAGAUACCCUGGUAGUCCACGCUGUAAACGAUGUCAACUAGCUGUUGGUUAUAUGAAUAUAAUUAGUGGCGCAGCUAACGCGAUAAGCUGACCGCCUGGGGAGUACGGUCGCAAGAUUAAA
rnacentral:rRNA from 1 species